GACGAACGCUGGCGGCGUGCCUAAUACAUGCAAGUCGAGCGCUGAAGCUUUGUACUUGUGCCAUCUGGAUGUGCAGCGCACGUGUGAGUAACGCGUGGGUCAUCUGCCUUUGAUCGGGGGACAACAUGCGGAAACGAAUGCUAAUACCGCAUAAAAACCUUAAACACGAGGUUUAUGUUUGAAAGAUGCAAUUUCAUCACUCAAAGAUGACUCCGCGUUGUAUUGGCUAGUUGGUGAGGUAAAGGCUCACCAAGGCGAUGAUGCAGAGCCGACCUGAGAAGGUGAGCAGCCACACUGGGACUGGGACAGGGCCCAAACUCCGACGGGAGGCAGCAGUAGGGAAUCGUCGGCAAGGGACGAAAGUCUGACCGAGCAACGCCGAGGGCGUGAGGAGGAAUGUCGGAUCGUAGAUCUCUGUCGGUAGGUAAGAACGUUGGUGAGACUGGAAAGCUCAUCGAGUGACGGUAACGACCCAGAAAGGAACGGCUAACUACGUG
rnacentral:rRNA from 1 species